rnacentral:lncRNA from 1 species
ACACCUCUAAUAACAUUAUGACCCUUUCAGGGGCAAAAACAAGCGGUUUACUUUGAUGCAGAUGCUUGCCCCAGGCGAUUAUAUUGUAUAGCCAUUUUGCAGUUGCUGGUUAUAGCUUGUUAACUCAAUACUGGAAUGAUUUUGAUCGUUAAUUGUCCUUAGUAAAAGUUUAGACCCAAAAAGAUCUAAAAAUAGGGCCCAGGUUGAAAAAUCCAGACGUUUCUCUUUAGCUCAGUGAGGAAAAGUGCUGAAGAUAGUUAUUUUGCAAGGAAGACACAGAAACAGGCUUGAUUACAAACAUUCAUGUCACAAUGGCUGAUUGCCAUUUCAGUGGUUCUUCCUAGCCUGCCCUAGUGACUAUGCAAUGUGGCACAUCACAUCCUAAUUUUUUUUUGUCAAUAUGCAUUUGUUUUUUGUUUUAAAACCUACAGUUUUAUCUGUUACAUUUUUUUUGUAGGGGUAUGUUAUUAUUGCAUUAUGUUUGUGUCAAGUUACAAAGUUACAUUUGUUUCAUGGUACCGCUGGAAUAAAAAAAAAUUCAGCCUGAUACAACAUAAUAACUCCAGAUAUUACACUGUAAAAGGUAACACGACUACUAACUUAAAUCAUUUUAGUAUUCUUUACUUGUGUAAUGCUAUCCCAGUGAUUUAGCUCAAAUUAUUUAAGUAAUGUAUUCAUUUUGUAUGCAAAAGCUCAAAAACUCAAUGAACAUGAGUAAACCGCACUCACAGCGCUCCAGUGCUAAAUAGCUCUUAACUGCGCAUGCGCAUACGAGAGAGGCAGGAGAAUCAGAUUGAAGAGAGUUGGAGAAAGUUUAACGCUAUACAUGUGCGAAGCAGAACUCUGUCUCAUAGUUAAAGAUAAAGAGCACAGGAUGCAUCCGCAUUGGAAAACAACAGACAGUUGCUUGAAGAUGAAAUGAAGAAAAGGACACCAAAUGCAGCACUUGUGAAUCAGCUGAUGAACCAGACCUUCUCACUGAGACGCAAAGAAAUCGUCGAAGAGCAGCCUCCUGUGAAACGCAUGUUGGAACGCUGGCCAGCGCUUUUCAGAAAACAGCAGGUUUUUGCAGAGUUCACUAGGGUGGCAAGUAAAGAUCUUGAACUUUUUUGA